AAUCAACGCUGGCGGCGUGCCUCAGACAUGCAAGUCGAACGCGAAAGGUUCCUUCGGGAGCCGAGUAGAGUGGCGCUCGGGUGAGUAACACGUAGGUAAUUUGCCUUUGGGUGGGGAAUAACAAUCGGAAACGGUUGCUAAUACCGCAUAAUGCAGCGGCUCGACAUCGAGACAGUUGUUAAAGCGGGGGAGUCCUUCGGGACCUCGCGCCUAAAGAAGAAGCCUGCGGCGGAUUAGCUAGUUGGUGAGGUAAUGGCUCACCAAGGCGACGAUCCGUAACCGGCCUGAGAGGGCGGACGGUCACACUGACACUUAAAUACGGGUCAGACUCCUACGGGAGGCAGC
rnacentral:rRNA from 1 species